UAUGGGUGAACGCCUAAAACCAUGUGGACAUGUGGAGUUACAUAAGACGUGCUCUCGAUGUUGGACGAUGUGAACAGCAUAUCUGCUCAAAGAGAGGUCGAACCAAGUAUGCUUAGCUGGUUAUGUGCGGUUUGCUAAGACGCACCAUUGUUGCUGGACUGAAGUUUGUUAUCACCCGCUUGCAGACCCUCCUCCCGCGAGGCGAC